rnacentral:rRNA from 1 species
GAUGAACGCUGGCGGCGUGCCUAAUACAUGCAAGUCGAGCGAACGGACGAGAAGCUUGCUUUUCUGAUGUUAGCGGCGGACGGGUGAGUAACACGUGGAUAACCUACCUAUAAGACUGGGAUAACUUCGGGAAACCGGAGCUAAUACCGGAUAAUAUUUUGAACCGCAUGGUUCAAAAGUGAAAGACGGUCUUGCUGUCACUUAUAGAUGGAUCCGCGCUGCAUUAGCUAGUUGGUAAGGUGACGGCUUACCAAGGCAACGAUGCAUAGCCGACCUGAGAGGGUGAUCGGCCACACUGGAACUGAGACACGGUCCAGACUCCUACGGGAGGCAGCAGUAGGGAAUCUUCCGCAAUGGGCGAAAGCCUGACGGAGCAACGCCGCGUGAGUGAUGAAGGUCUUCGGAUCGUAAAACUCUGUUAUUAGGGAAGAACAUAUGUGUAAGUAACUGUGCACAUCUUGACGGUACCCAAUCAGAAAGCCACGGCUAACUACGUG